AUAUUUUCAAAAUAGUUUUUGACAUUUUUUUUAAUAUGAAUUUUUGUAUGUUUUAAUGUUAAUUGUGACUUUUUGUAAAAGGAGGUUAAAAGUAAAAUUUCCGUGUUGUUUAUGUCCUGUUGUAAAGUACUUUAUCUGUUUUGCAUGAAGAGAAAUUGUAAUACAUUCCAACUUUGUUGUUAUAUGCAUUUGUUUAGAUUUACCAUAAAAAUGAAGUAUUGUGAGAGAAGCAGUCAAGUGCGCCUUAUGAUUAUGAAUGUAAAUCAAGUUAUCUGGUAAGACCUUAAAAUUAAGAAUUGUAGGUCAAGUACUGGGACAAGAUAAUGCAUGAGGUCUUUUUGUCAACAUAAAUAGUUGUCAUAAAAAUCACAGUAGCAGAAUGUGUUAUUAAUUUAUUUCGAAAUUUACAUUCAAACUUGGCCAGCUGAGGACUUCAUCCAAGUGCCAGAUUUUCUAGCUGCAUUGAAGGCCUAUUAGUGGCCUUAAGCUGUUAUCUACCAUUUGGAGGGAUUGUUGUCUCUGACUUAUUCCCCAUUUCCAUUCUCAAUUUUAUUGAUUUUUAUGGUAUAUUUAAACUUGGUAUAAAAUGUUGGUUAUUGUUAUAAAUAAUUAUUGUUAAUUUUUAAAUUUAAAGAUAUUUAAUUGUUCACACUGAAAAAUAAACCUUUUUCACUUAUGUUAACUUUAAUAAAUGUUUAUUGUAAACAAGAAACCUACUUUUGUGAUAUUUUUUUGUAAUCCUAUUGUUGGGAACAUUGUUAUUUUGUGAAACAAGUACUAUAAUUUAUAAUUCAAUGGGUACUAGUAUUUGUGGAUAUAAGGGGAAAAGGUGAACUAUAAACUCAAAUAUUCAACAAAAGACCUAUUCCAUAUAGGCAAUUAUGCAUAAAUCAUUAAAACCACAAAUUGAAGUACCCUUUAAAUGCACAAAAAUUAGUUGUAUCUCUUUUAUUCCUUUUAAAAAUUUACUUUUAUAUUUUUUUUUAUUGAAUUUGGUAAAAAUCAAACUAAACAGAAUUCUUCAGACAUUUUUUUCAGUUAACUUUUCUGUGAUACAUGAAUUAGAGGCAUGUCAUUUACAGAAUAAAUUCUUUACUCUUGUUCUAUAUAAUUUGAAAAUAGCUUACACUAUGUUUAAAAAUACCAUUGAAAGUUUAUCAUUGUGUAAAUUACAAUCAAUUUGUAUAACUUUAAAGUUUGUUCUAAAGGUCUGGUUGUUUGUGUUUAACACAACUAUAGGUUUUUAUUGUUGUAUUGAGACAAGAGUAUGGGGAGAAACAACAUAUUCAGCAGGUGUAUAAAAUAUGGGCUUUGCUCAUUGUUGAAGGCUGUAGGGUGACAUAGUUUUUAAUUUCUGUGUCAUUUUGGUCUCUUGUGGAGAGUUGUUUCAUUGGCAAUCAUACCACAUCUUCUUUUCUAUUCAUGAUAAACUUAGAAUCUACAGGAGUGCGGCUAAAUUUUUGGAAAACUUUAGUAAGAUUCUGAAGGCUAGUGUAGAUAAUAUUUCCAGACUUUAUAGCAAUUUUUCAAGCAUAGGGUGCUGGCUUGAGGGUAAAGACCAUAAAUGUUAGAUUGAAGACGUUUCUGUGAUUAGUGUCACAGGUUCAAUUAAGAUUGAUUUCAUGUAGAACAUGUGUUUAAAUGUCAAAUCUAACCUUGAGAAUGAGGAAUGACAAUCUAACUUUUAGAAUGAGGAAUUCAAAUACAAUUGAUAGACUGAUGAUGAAAUUUCAACGGUAUUUUUAUACUACCUGUACCUUGUUAACACCAUGAUACUGUUAUAUCUAUAUAUUGUUAUAUCUCAAUAUUUACAAUAAACUAUUUUAUCCAC
rnacentral:lncRNA from 1 species